rnacentral:rRNA from 1 species
AUGUUCUCGUCGACGUCGCUGUCCCGCAUCAACAACAUCCGCGCCGCCCUCACCAAUGCGCAGAAAGGAACGCAAUUGGUGGCCACCUUCUUCGCACACAUGCGGGGACUCGCUGAUGAGCUCGCCGAGGCUGGCAAGCCGUUGAAGGAUGAUGAGUUAAUCUCAAACAUCCUCAACGCGCUUGACAUGGAGUACCAUCCAUUGGUGUCCGCCCUCGACGCCCGCACUACCCCGGUCACCCUCGACGAGCUGUUCGGGCAAAUGAGCAACUUCGACCAGCGGGUGGCUCUCUUCCAGGGAGCUGGCGGGGGAGGUGGCUUCAAGUCAUCGGCCAACGUCGCCACUCGCGGCCGGGGCGGAGGCUCUCGCAACCGCGGGCCGCCUCGGAACGGCAAGGGCAGGGGCGCUGGCAACGGCAACAGCAACGGCGCCAACAACACACGCGGCGGUCGGCCUUCCUCCACCAACAACCGAGGCCGGCGCAACAACUCCUCCAACAACACAUCGCACCUGGUGCCAAAUCUGUGGCAAGCCGGGACACUCGGCGAAGGAUUGCUGGUAUCGUUUUGA